UCCCAGUGUUGAGUUGGCACAGGCCCUCGCUGACAGCUGGGGACAGAGUGGAUCGACGGGACUCAGGGGAGCACAGAGGCCAGCGAUGAAAACGAAAACAAACGAAAGCCAAGGAACGAGGGAUUGUUGGAGAGCUGGUGGCUGUCAAGAGCCUUAAAGCAGAGAUACAUUUGCAUGUGAUAAACAGAGAGAGCGAGCAAAAGAUAAAGGUUGGGUUAAAAAUCCAAUUCCUCCUCAAGAGGUUUUUGUGGUUGCCAGUGCAAGUGGACCAUCCAAAUAUCCAUUUUGUCCAUGUCUUGCUGUCUCCGUUUCCAGCGGUGCUCAACAAACGGUCGUUAACCAGCCAAAUUAGAAAAGCGAACUCCCGACAGGCUUAUGCACAAUCCAGAAAAUAAUAAACCCACAAUGAGGAGCAUCUUCUGGGGGCCUCGAAGCAUCCUGGAGCCGCCUGGCGUGGACAGAGAUAAGCUAAGACAAUGAGGCUGGAUGGAGCAGGACAGAUAGGACUGCAGCCAGUGGAGGAUGAGGGCUGCUGUCUGCUGCCAUGGUCUUGAGCCUUUCUGGAGCCACAAAACACUCUGCAUUUUGAUUAUUGUUUUGUAAUUUCAUUUAUGUAGCAUUAACUAAGAACGAGUGUCAUAAUUGGCCAAUAAGCUCUGUAUUUAGGUUCUUAUUGAUGUAGGAUUGCGAAUAGAAUCAGUCUGGGAAAUGCUAUUUUUAAAAAUGUUUUUUUAUUAAAAGUGUGCUUUAUAAAAUCCAUUAUUCAAAUUAAAUAAACAUAACUAUAAAAGCAUAAUGUCACUGAUAAUGUUGCAAAGGAAAAAAUUAAUUCACUCCCUCUGAACUUAAAGGUGAUGUGUGUAAUUUCUGCUCCGCCAAAUGGAAAUGCAAAAAAUAAUGACUGUUUUUAAGUUUCUGAACAGGUACACUCACCCAAAACUAUGGAUGGCUUUUUAAAAGGUAAUUUAAAGCAUUUUAACAUUGAAAAAUUACACAUAUCACCUUUAAAUAAAAAAAAAAAAAACACCAUUUAGUGUCUUAGAGGCACUGCUGCUUUGUAACAGUGUCUUUCUCUUUCACACACAUUCACUUCAUACACACAGCUCUAAAUGGACUCUUAAAAGCUUGCCAUCCAGUCAAAUCACAAUUUGAACAAGCAUUUGUUUGUUCUCUGAAACCAAAAACCCAAACCUGGGGGAAAUGACA